rnacentral:rRNA from 1 species
UUUCGCAAUGCCCGAAAGGGUGACGAAGCGACGCCGCGUGCGGGAAGAAGGCCUUCGGGUUGUAAACCGCUGUCGGGAGUUAAGAAAUGUAAGGAUGUUAAUAGCAUCUUUGCUUGACUAAGGCUCCGGAGGAAGCCACGGCUAACUCUGUGCCAGCAGCCGCGGUAAUACAGAGGCGGCAAGCGUUGUUCGGAAUUAUUGGGCGUAAAGAGCACGUAGGCGGCUAUGUAAGUCGGUUGUGAAAGCCUUCCGCUCAACGGGAGAACAGCAUCCGAUACUGCAUGGCUUGAGUGCAGGAGGGGAGAGUGGAACUUCUGGUGGAGCGGUGAAAUGCGUAGAUAUCAGAAGGAACGCCGGCGGCGAAAGCGGCUCUCUGGCCCAUAACUGACGCUGAGUGUGCGAAAGCUAGGGGAGCAAACGGGAUUAGAUACCCCGGUAGUCCUAGCCGUAAACGAUGGGCACUAAGUAGAGGGGUUUU